UGCCUGCCUUCACUUGAAAACUCCAAGUACUGCCGUUUCAACCAGGACCCAGAAGCAGCACCCUCACAGACACACCCAGGAUCAGUACUUUGCAUCCUUCAAUCCAAUCAAGUUGACACUCAGUAUUAACCAUCACAACUACUGAAAAAGCGUUAAAAUUCUGUAAACAUUAAUGAUCUUCCUGCAUCCUGUUUAUAAGCAAAUUUGAAAUUUAAAAAAUUUAUGUGAUGUUAGACGGCAGCAAUAAAUGUAGAAAAUUAAAAA
rnacentral:sRNA from 1 species